rnacentral:rRNA from 1 species
CAGUAGCCGCGGUAAUACGGAGGGAGCUAGCGUUGUUCGGAAUCACUGGACGUAAAGCGCACGUAGGCGGCUAUCCAAGUCAGGGGUGAAAGCCCGGGGCUCAACCCCGGAACUGCCUUUGAAACUAGAUAGCUUGAAUCUUGGAGAGGCGAGUGGAAUUCCGAGUGUAGAGGUGAAAUUCGUAGAUAUUCGGAAGAACACCAGUGGCGAAGGCGACUCGCUGGGCAAGUAUUGGCGCUGAGGUGCGAAAGCGUGGGGAGCAAACAGGAUUAGAUACCCGAGUAGUCCCUGUCUCUUAUAC